AUGCACGAUGCACCCCGGGCUGCUCUGACAGCAAUCCUGACUGAAGAUGACAGCCCCAAUGCACGUGCAAGAUCCUCGCCGUUCGUGUUGCAGUUUAGCUUGAUCCUAUUCCAUGGCUGAUCUGUGUCUAUUUCAACGGCCACAUCU
rfam:Punica granatum cultivar Dabenzi scaffold123, whole genome shotgun sequence.